CCUACGGGUGGCUGCAGUGGGGGAUAUUGGACAAUGGGGGAAACCCUGAUCCAGCGACGCCGCGUGAGUGAAGAAGUAUUUCGGUAUGUAAAGCUCUAUCAGCAGGGAAGAAAGAAAUGACGGUACCUGAGUAAGAAGCCCCGGCUAACUACGUGCCAGCAGCCGCGGUAAUACGUAGGGGGCAAGCGUUAUCCGGAAUCCCUGGGUGUAAAGGGAGCGUAGACGGCUGUGCAAGCCUGAAGUGAAAGGCGGGGGCCCAAACCCUGGACUGCUUUGGGAACUGUACGGCUGGAGUGCAGGAGAGGUAAGUGGAAUUCCUAGUGUAGCGGUGAAAUGCGUAGAUAUUAGGAGGAACACCAGUGGCGAAGGCGGCUUACUGGACUGUAACUGACGUUGAGGCUCGAAAGCGUGGGGAGCAAACAGGAUUAGAUACCCCUGUAGUC
rnacentral:rRNA from 1 species